ensembl:lncRNA
CAGAGAUCAUAAGACAGUAUGAUCCUCGUUAACAUAUGAGACAGACUUCAUAUGGAGAAUCAUCACAGCGUCAUAGCUGCGAGAAUACCGAUUACGGGAAAGUGACCAAGGGGCUGAGCAUUUAAGUGAAGGUCUGUGAGGGAACACUGGUGGCGCAUUCCGUGUGACAGCGUGAGGGAGAUUCCUGUCUGACCAAAGACGACCUGGACCCGCCCAGACCAGACUUUUACUGGGAGGUGCCCGGGGGAAGAUACCUGAUCCGGCAAACCUCUGAGGGGUCAACUGUCACGCCCUGACCAUAGAGGGCUGUUUAUUCUCUAUAUUGGUUGGGACGUGACAGUGACUAGGGUGUGUUAUCUAGGUGAUUAAAAUAAAAUAAGAAUUUGUUCUCAACUGACUUGCCUAGUUAAAUAAAGGUCAAAUAAAUAAAUAAAUCAAUGUUGGCCUGAUAUGGUUCCCAAUCAGAGGCAGGUGUUUAUCGUUGUCUCUGAUUGGGGAUCAUAUUUAGGCAGCCAUUUCCCCAUUGUGCUUUGUGGGAUCUUGUCUAGGUAUAGUUGCCUGUGACGGUCUACCGUCUAGCGACGGUCUGCAGUCCAGAGCCUCCAGCGACGGUCUGCGGUCCAGAGCCUCCACUCUCCCCUGGGUGAAGGCGUCUUUGCUGAACCUGGCGGGUGGACCUGGGCACUGUUUGAUCCCAGGUGAUCUCGUGGCAGUCAAAGACUUCAGGAGAAAGAGUUGUCAGGACCCCCGUUGGAGAGGGUCGUACCAAGUUCUUCUAACCACACCCACUGCGGUGAAGGUGAGAGAGAUACCUGGAUCCACGUGUCACACUGCAGAUGAUCCAGGAGAAGAUGGGGCCUCGCCAGUUACGGUGGUGCAGUGUGGCCCCCUGCAUUAGCACAGGAGUGCUAAUAAGUACAACGGUACAAGUACUGUAUCAUCGCCAACCGGCAUGAAGGCAUUCAAAUUCCAUGUGACUGUUUAGUCACGGUAAUUACACUUCUCCGGGCACUGAUGCUGCUGAUGGUCAUUAGUAGACUACCAAACUUGCUAACUGCCUGGUACUCUGCAAUAUAUUGUUUCUCUAAUCACUCUGACAUCAAUGCAAGUGUAAUCGAAAAUCUAAUCAAACACUUCAUGAGAGCCCAUGGGGUCAUGUUGCACAACAUUUCUAUAGGAUAUACAAUUGCACAUGAAAACAUGAGAGCCUCUAUUAAAAAGAGGUGGUUCCCAUCAGGUUUCCAUAGGCUAGGCCUACUAUAUUUAUUUCUCAACUAUUGCCGCUUUCCAUGUUGUCUGUAGCUUGUGAGGUGUGGAAACACUUUGUUGCUUUUAUGAAUUUUGUCUUGCUGCUUUUUGUUCUAUGUUGCUCUGUCUGUAUGCUACGUCUUGCUUGUCCUAUGUUGCUCUGUCUGUACGCUACGUCUUGCUUGUCCUAUGUUGCUCUGUCUGUAUGCUACGUCUUGCUUGUCCUAUGUUGCUCUGUCUGUACGCUACGUCUUGCUUGUCCUAUGUUGCUCUGUCUGUACGCUACGUCUUGCUUGUCCUAUGUUGCUCUGUCUGUACGCUACGUCUUGCUUGUCCUAUGUUGCUCUGUGUGUACUCACUGCUCAAUGAUUGUCUAUAUUCUAAUUGUUUUUAAUAACCUGCCCAGGGACUGCGUUUGAAAAUUUGCCGGCUAGUUAAAACUGGCACUUUUACUGAAACGUUGAUUAAUGUCCACUGUCCCUGUAAAAAUAAAAUAAACUCAAACUCAAGUGCAGAGAUGUAUUUUUUCCCCUGACCCUGUUUCAAAACAGGUGCAUGAAAAUGGUCUAAAUCAAAGCAAAUUUCACAUAUAUUUAGUACAUGUAAAGACAAGAUCAAAUCAAGAAUAGUCUGAUGGGUGACAAUAUGAGCCUAUCACUUGUGAAUGAUUUAUUAUCACUUGUGAAUGAUGCCCAGCUUAAGGCAAGAAACAAUGCCUUUUUUGGGGGGGGGGGACCUUUUUGAUUCAUAGUCGCACACCUCAUGUAGUUGUCACGAACGUUAUAAGGAGAGGACCAAGAUGCAGCGUGGUAUGUUUCCAUCCUUUUAAUUAGGAAGAGAAAAACUAAGAACAAAAACAAUAAAGCGCACGAACGAAAUGUGCCGCUGAUACUCGCAACUAUACCUAGACAAGAUCCCACAAAGCAUAAUGGGCAAAUGGCUGCCUAAAUAUGAUCCCCAAUCAGAGACAACGAUAAAGAGCUGCAUCUGAUUGGGAACCAUACUAGGCCAACAUAGAAAUAUAAUUAACCUAGAUAACCCACCCUUAAUCGAACUAACCAACAUAGAGAAUAAAAGCUCUCUAUGGUCAGGUUUGUAUCACAACUAAAGUGGCCUACAAAUGUCUCAAAUUAAGCACAUUAAUUCGCUUUACAACGAGUGUAGAGCCUAACUGGCAUACAUACUGUAUGCAGCGAGUGUAGAGCCUAACUGGCAUACAUACUGUAUGCAGCGAGUGUAGAGCCUAAC